UAGGGAAUCUUCCGCAAUGGACGUAAGUCUGACGGAGCAACGCCGCGUGAGUGAAGAAGGAUUUCGGUUCGUAAAACUCUGUUGUUAGAGAAGAACAGCGCAUAGAGUAACUGUUAUGCGUGUGACGGUAUCUAACCAGAAAGCCACGGCUAACUACGUGCCAGCAGCCGCGGUAAUACGUAGGUGGCAAGCGUUGUCCGGAUUUAUUGGGCGUAAAGCGAGCGCAGGCGGUCAAUUAAGUCUGAUGUGAAAGCCCCCGGCUCAACCGGGGAGGGUCAUUGGAAACUGGUUGACUUGAGUGCAGAAGAGGAGAGUGGAAUUCCAUGUGUAACGGUGAAAUGCGUAGAUAUAUGGAGGAACACCAGUGGCGAAGGCGACUCUCUGGUCUGUAACUGACGCUGAGGCUCGAAAGCGUGGGUAGCAAACAGG
rnacentral:rRNA from 1 species